AAUUUCCUAAAAGAAGAGAAGCUUCUGUCUGACAGCAUGCUGGUGGAGGCGCGGGAGGCCUCGGAGGAGGACCUGCUGGUGGUGCACACGAGGCGCUAUCUUAAUGAGCUCAAGGGGGUGGCUUCCACCACUGCUCCAGCGACCGUGGCGGGGGCUUCUGUGCCUAUGCGGACAUCACGCUCGCCAUCCAGUUUCUGUUUGAGCGUGUGGAGGGCAUCUCCAGGGCUACCAUCAUUGAUCUUGAUGCCCAUCAGGGCAAUGGGCAUGAGCGAGACUUCAUGGACGACAAGCGUGUGUACAUCAUGGAUGUCUACAACCGCCACAUCUACCCCGGGGACCGCUUUGCCAAGCGUAAGCUGCUGCCCCUACCCUCGUCUUGGGUGUGUCCUUGUGGAUGAGGCUCUCACCUGAGUGUCUCCUGCCUGCUAGGCCCUGCAGAAGCCACUGCAGUGGUUCGUAGCAUCCCUGCGAGGUGAUCCUUCCCACUUUACAGAUGAGGAAGCCGAGACCUGGAGAAGUCACUCGACCCACCCAAGAUCACAUAACCUUUCCAAUAAACAGGCAUCUGUCUGGCAAAAUACAGGAAAGGAUGAAAGAAGAAAAAGAAAAA
rnacentral:sRNA from 1 species